UUCCGUUUCUUAAACGGUGGUGGAAGGACUGAUUUGCGAGGGAAGAAUCCACGUCAUGCCUGGAUCCGCUUGCGUACCGUGUCUGCUCCCUUCUUCCUCCCUGAAGAAUUCUCUUUCUUCUGCAAAUCGAAAAGCCACAAAUUCUGUAAAAGCGUGCACACACGAACAGUCACACGUGCACAUCAGACUGGACACCAGGCUGACCAAGAAGAAGAGAUCCACCAUCACACAUCCCUGCAC
rnacentral:ribozyme from 1 species